UACAGAGGUGCCGAGCGUUAGGCGGAAUCACUGGGCUUAAAGCGUGUGUAGGCGGAUGCCUAAGUACCUUGUGAAAUCCCCCGGCUUAACCGGGGAACUGCUUGGUAUACUGGGUGUCUUGAGCCACUUAGGGGCGACCGGAACAAACGGUGGAGCGGUGAAAUGCGUAGAUAUCGUUUGGAACGCCAAUGGUGAAAACAGGUCU
rnacentral:rRNA from 1 species